UUUGGUCCCCUUCAAGGAGUCAG
rnacentral:miRNA from 1 species